rnacentral:misc_RNA from 1 species
CCUGGAACCUGGGCCCGGACACUGUGUUUCUGGCGAGUGUUCUGUCUUGCUGUGUUCACCUUACUCCUCCAACACGGGAUUUUUGUACAUUCUAGUGAAGAUGCGGGUCGGCCGCGAUGUAGUAUUGGGGCAGCCUUGUUAGACCACCAAGCCCUGGACUUGACUUCCCAGGCCCACAGUCCUUUUGUGGCUGUGUUCCUCGUUGCACCGAUCAAUCAGUCUCUGCUGUCUGGAAGCCAUCUUGCUUGAGUACUGACUCGCCACCAUGUCGUCAGUGAAGGUGGCUGUGAGGGUUCGUCCCUUCAACAACCGCGAGAUAGCUCGCGAGUCUAAAUGCAUCAUAGAUAUGGGAGGCAAAACCACAAGUAUAACCAACCCCAAGGUACCACCCGGCAGCAAGGAAGCCUCCAAGAACUUCAACUUCGACUAUUCCUAUUGGUCACAUAACGUAAAUGACCGAAAUUUUGCUUCACAAUCACAUGUGUUCAAAGACAUAGGGGAAGAAAUGUUGCAACAUGCCUUUGAAGGUUACAAUGUGUGCAUUUUUGCCUACGGUCAGACGGGAGCAGGGAAAUCCUAUACAAUGAUGGGCAAGCAAGAGGAAGGUCAAGAGGGAAUCAUUCCUCUUGUUUGUAAAGACAUGUUUCAGAGAAUUGCAGACUGCACAGAUGGAGAACUACAGUAUUCUGUUGAGGUGAGUUACAUGGAGAUCUACUGUGAACGUGUACGAGACCUGUUGAAUCCAAAGAAACAAAACAAUCUCCGUGUGCGUGAACAUCCUCUUCUGGGUCCAUAUGUAGAAGACCUUGCAAAAUUAGCAGUCACAACAUAUGAAGAUAUUCACAAUUUAAUAGAUGAAGGUAACAAAGCCAGGACAGUUGCAGCAACCAACAUGAAUGAAACAUCAUCACGUUCCCAUGCAGUAUUUACGAUUGUGUUAACUCAGCGUCGAAAUGACACCACCACCAAACUCUCAUCAGAACGAGUUUCUAAGAUAUCUUUAGUCGAUUUAGCUGGUUCUGAGCGAGCAGACUCCACAGGAGCAAAGGGCACUCGUCUGAAAGAAGGUGCCAAUAUCAACAAAUCCUUAACAACACUGGGCAAGGUCAUCUCUGGUCUUGCUGAAGUAGCAAAUAAGGCUUCUAAACCAAACAAAAGGAGGAAAACAGAAUUCAUCCCUUAUCGUGACUCAGUGCUGACCUGGCUAUUACGAGAAAAUCUAGGUGGAAAUAGCAAAACAGCCAUGAUAGCAGCCAUAUCACCAGCAGAUAUUAAUUAUGAUGAGACACUUUCAACUCUUAGGUAUGCAGAUAGAGCAAAACAAAUUCGUUGCAAUGCCGUAGUUAAUGAAGAUGCUAAUGCCAAAUUAAUCCGUGAGCUGAAGGAGGAGAUCCAGCGUCUACGUGAACUGCUGAAGCAAGAGGGCAUUGAAGUUCAGGAAGCAGGCCUGGAUGGCAAGGUCAUCUGCCACAAUGACAACCGUCCUGCUGACCUGGGGUCAUGUCAAGAGAUCACCAAAGUGAUGAACAGCAACAAUGACAAGGAGACCCCACAGAUUACCUCGCCUGUAUCCACUGUUGCUGAAGUGGCUGCGGAUCAACUCCAUGCCAAUGAGAAACUUAUUGCAGAACUGAAUGAAACUUGGGAAGAGAAAUUGAAACGCACUGAAAGUAUACGUCUGCAGCGAGAAGCUGUUUUUGCUGAAAUGGGAGUAGCAUUAAAGGAAGACGGAAAUACUGUUGGUAUUUUCUCUCCUAAAAAGACACCUCAUCUUGUGAAUCUUAAUGAAGAUCCCUCAAUGUCAGAAUGCUUACUCUACUACAUCAAAGAUGGUUUCACUAAAGUUGGCUCUGCAGAUUCAAACAUUCCACAAGAUAUUCAACUCUGUGGUUCUCACAUUAUGGCAGAACACUGCCAGUUUGAGAAUCAUGAAGGUGUUGUCUCGAUUCACCCUAAACCUCAAGCGUUGUGCUACGUCAAUGGCCGUGAAGUAAAUGAGGCAACUAUUCUAAAAACUGGUUCUCGUGUCAUUCUUGGCAAGAAUCAUGUUUUCAGGUUCAAUCACCCUGAGCAAGCUCGUGAGCGCCGAGAAACAAAAUCGCCUACUGAAACUCCAGGUUCAGGAGAGCCAGCAGAUUGGCAGUUUGCUCAAAUUGAGCUGUUAGAGAAGCAGGGUAUUGAUUUAAAAGAAGAAAUGCAGAAACGGUUGGUGGCCCUCGAAGAGCAGUAUCAAAGAGAGAAAGAGGAGGCUCAGAAAGAAUUUGAAAAGGAAAGAAAGAACUAUGAGGCAAGGAUUGAUGCUCUACAGAAACAGGUGGAGGAGCAGAGUAUGACCAUGUCCAUGUAUUCUUCCUACACCCCAGAUGACUUCACCCAUGAAGAUGACAUCUUUGUAAACCCCUUGUUUGACGCAGAGUGCAACUGGACGGAACGGGAGUAUGCUUUGGCUUCCUGGGCAUUCCGCAAGUGGAAGUACCAUCAGUUCACUUCACUUCGAGAUGAUCUGUGGGGAAAUGCCAUCUUCCUCAAAGAAGCCAAUGCUAUUUCAGUCGAGCUAAAAAAGAAGGUUCAGUUCCAGUUCACACUGUUGACCGACACAUUGUAUUCACCGUUACCUCCUGAUUUCUUACCUCUAAUGGAAGAGGAUGAAGAGGAAGAUGAGGAUGACCGUCCUAUUCCCCGUACUAUUGUAGCUGUUGAAGUUCAGGAUACAAAGAAUGGCGCCACACAUUAUUGGACGUUAGAAAAAUUGAGACAUCGUUUGGAGUUGAUGCGUCAAAUCUACAACUCUGACGUGAGCCCAUACUCCCCGUUGCCCUCUCCGCCAACUGAGCCCCAGGGAGAUGACGAAGUGCAAACCUGCAUACCAGCGUGUAACCAGGCCAGGCUCUCCCUGUCCCAGCUGCUGCCUACGAGGCUCCAGAACUCCCGCAUACAACGUUUGGAGUUAAUGAGAGAAAUGUAUCAUAAUGAAGCUGAACUAUCACCCACCUCCCCGGAUUAUAACAUUGAAAGCCUAACAGGUGGAGACCCAUUCUACGAUCGCUUCCCUUGGUUCAGGCUUGUUGGCAGGGGGUUUCUGUACCUAAGUAAUCUUCUGUACCCUGUACCAUUGGUGCAUCGUGUUGCAAUUGUCAGCGAACGAGGUGAUGUCAAGGGAUAUCUAAAAGUUGCCGUACAAGCUGUUGUCGCAGCGGAAGAAGAUUCAGUCGAAAGUACACAACCAGCAGGAGUGCGACAAUCAGCAAGAAUAUCUUUCAAUGAAGGUACUUUUAAAAGACCGCGGACCAAACGAGGGUCGCUCUCUGCGCAGGUGUUGGAGAAGAACACAGCUGCAGCUGCCGAGGAGGAGCGUAUAGUUGAAGGUCAAGUAGGCUCAGGAGACAUUAUUAAACUAGAGGAUGAAGUGUGUGAAGUAGAUAGUGGUAGAGGUGAUAGUAGUGUUAGUUCCUGUGACAGUGGAAGAGAUGAUGACCUUCCGCCUCACCUUCGUAUCGGGCAAGAGCUUACCUUCCGUGUAACUGUUCUUCAGGCCUUUGAUGUGUCUACAGAAUAUGCUGACAUAUUCUGUCAGUUUAACUUCCUCCACAGACAUGAUGAAGCCUUCUCCACUGAACCAAUAAAAAAUACUGGAAAGGGACCACCACUGGGGUUCUAUCAUGUACAGAAUAUUACAGUAACAGUGACUCGAGCAUUCCUAGAAUACAUAAAAACACAACCUAUCGUGUUUGAAGUAUUUGGUCAUUAUCAGCAACACCCUCUACACCGCGAUGCCCGUCAAGAUGCCACGCAUUUCUUACCUCCUGGCAUGGUACUUCCCGGCAGCUCUCGGGCACCACCCAAGAGGAUGCAGCCUCCCGCCAUCCCCAUCAGUCAGCCAAUAAGGUCACCGAAGUUUGGUGUUGUACAGAGCCCCUCUACCUCACAUGUACAUGCUCGACAUGAUCUCCUCGUCUGGUUCGAAAUCUGUGAACUAGCACCGAGUGGAGAAUAUGUACCAGCAGUGGUUGAACAUGGAGAUGAUCUGCCAUGCCGAGGUCUCUUCCUUUUACAUCAGGGUAUCCAAAGACGUAUUCGCAUCACAAUUGUACAUGAACCUUCCCAUGAUCUGAUUUGGCGUGAUGUACGAGAACUUGUUGUUGGUCGAAUACGCACAACUCCAGAAAGUGAAGAUGACAAUAACGAUGCAUCAGUCUUGUCUUUGGGUCUGUUUCCGGGAGAGUGCCUAGAGUACCCUGGAGAAGACCGCACACUCUUCCGUUUUGAGGCAGCUUGGGACUCUUCUCUCCACAACUCCAUUAUGUUGAACCGUGUCACCCCACCAGGAGAGCAUGUAUAUAUGACCAUAUCUGCUUAUCUCGAGCUGGAAAACAAUGCACAGCCAGCCAUAAUCACCAAAGACCUGUGUAUGGUUGUUUACGGUCGAGACUCCCGAACUAUCCCACGUUCCCUUCGACAUAUCUUCAGUGGCUCAUACAAGAAUGCUGAGGCCAACAGGAUCUGCGGCGUUUAUGAGACAGUGCUAAAGCGCGCAGCUGAAGCAGGUAGCCCAGGAUUACAACGGAGGCAACGAAGAGUGCUGGACACAAGCUCCACUUACGUGCGUGGCGAAGAAAACCUUCAUGGAUGGAGGCCACGGGGAGACUCUCUCAUAUUUGAACAUCAGUGGGAAUUGGAAAAGAUUGCGCGCCUAACUCAAGUGGAGAAAACAAGACAUUUCCUCCUUCUACGGGAAAAGCUCGGUCUUGGUACCACACCCCAGCCUCUCAACCACCACCAUGACUUUACGAAAAGUGAAAAGGAGGUGGCUAAUCAAGCAGCCAAGGCUGGAUGUGAUGCUCGAGCUGUGUUGACGCGGUACUCCUCCAGGGACAUGCCUGCUACAGACUCUGAUAAUAUGAGUGAGGCAGAAAGAGCCACUGCUCUCAAAUUUGCCCGAUUCAUGCAAGGUCGGUCUGUACAGAUUCAUACAAAACAAGAAACUCCUGCACAGACUCCUGAUGAGCAAGAUGCUCUCACUGCCUCAGUCACCUCAUCCUGCUCUUCCACCACUUCAGCAGAGUUAGCCUCACCAGAGCGACCUCGUGCACCUGUACCAGAACUUCAUAUUGCUCUUGGUGGGUCGGCUGUAGUACCACCAGAUUCCCCCCUUGCAAGCCCUGGAGAUUCCGAUGGCUCGUCACCUCUGGUAGAGUGCAGACCGAUGCCACUCUUUGUCCCAGAGGUUGAGGAAAUACGUAUAUCACCAGUUGUCAGCCGAAAGGGCUACCUCAAUGUUCUGGAUGACCGAACCAACACCUGGAUAAAGAGAUGGGUGGUUGUACGACGACCAUAUGUAUUUAUCUUCCGAGAUGAGCGGGACCCUGUAGAACGAGGACUCAUUAAUUUGGCCACUGCCCAAAUUGAAUACUCUGAGGACCAACAGGCCAUGGUGCGGGUACCUAAUUCAUUCAGUGUGGUGACCAAACAGCGAGGCUUCCUAUUGCAGACCCUGGGAGACAAGGAAGUGCAUGAUUGGUUAUAUGCCAUCAACCCACUUUUAGCAGGACAGAUCAGAUCAAAGUUAGGUCGCCGUAGUCGUCACACAUCUGGUGGCAGCCACCCCAAUACCCUUUCUGUUCCGACUAAGUGAAAUAAGGACAAUCCAGGGUCUUAUCAGAGCCUCACACACCAACUUUAUGAGCAGCACAUGACAUCUGCUACAGCUUGAGUUGUCACUGACUUGUCACAUAUUCAUACUGUACUAAUUUCUAAACCAGUCAGGUACUGAAGACAACAGAAAAAUUAUAUGAGUGUUAUUUGUGUAAGAAAAAGCAAAAAAAUUACUUAAAAUCACUGUUCAACAGGACUGCACUGCCUGGGAUAGUGCGAACAGCAGCCCAGAGGCCUUCAGACAACAGCCUACCCCAGCAUCUAGCUGGUGCACAAAUGGGCCAGUAUCCUCUUGGUAACCUUACAAACAAUAAGCUAGGUUCAGAAUUAUUAUUAGCACCAAGAAAAAGUUUCUAUAACAAAAAUAAAGUCAUAUACUAGAAAUUUUUUAGUCAGAAGUACUCUGCAAUAGUUAUGACUUAUGGUUAAACCAUUGCUGUUGUGGAGUGUUUUUGGUUCAUUUUGAACUGUCCUUGCUUUAUACUUUCAUUCUUAAUCUUCCAGCACUCAUACGGCUAUUUCUUCCAUUGUUAUUCUCCCCUCACUACCAGAUUCUGUUACUACAGAAGAUUGUUAGGUUUGUGUGCACUAGUGUUGAACCUCUGUGAUGUCUCCCAGAACUGGACACUCACCUUGCCAAGCAGGGUAAAGGAUAGCAAUUCAAAGUCUUAUAUCUGUGAAAUCAGUAAUUAUAAGCCUUAGAUGGAUUUCAAUAAGGCACAUUUACUUGGCCAAAUUAGUCUUAUUGAAAGACUGUUUUAAUACUCAGAAUUGCUGAUCAUGUCACAGCUUCAUUAUUAUUAUUUUUUUUACUUCCCCCUUGUAGAAACUUGUCAUCAGAGGUAUUUUACCAUCUAAAUAAAGUAGAAUGUUUGUUUGUCAAGACACUUGACUUGGUGAUUGGAAGAAUGAAACCAAAGAUGUUAGUUGAUAAGUAUAAGCGUAUCUUUAUCUAGUCACAUGCAUCACCAUUACUCACCAUAGUAUAGUUUAAGUUUCUCAUAAAAUAUAUUAUUUCUUUUCAAUUGUUUGCUUAUUUGUUCCUUGAAGAGUAUAAAACUUUAUAUUUAUGGUUAACAAAGGUUGCAAGUGAUUGUCCUGCAACUAUGGGUUGCUACAUAUUAUGGAUAUACAUCAGGACAGUCAAGCUACAUCAUUUUUCACAAGUUGUUUUUCUUUUUUAUUCAGAGAACUAUAAUUUGGAUAUCAAUAUUUAAUGAUAUUGUGUUAUAAUAGAAUAUAUCUCAAACAAUUAUUUAUGAAACUCACUGUAAAGCUUGAUGUUUACAAUGAUAUGGCCAAAUGUAAUAAUUUAGUUUCUGUUUUAUUACCCUUUCUUAUGAUUUUUAAUAUCAUUGAUAUAUAUAUAUAUAUAUAUAUAUAUAUAUAUAUAUAUAUAUAUAUAUAUAUAUAUAUAUAUAUAUAUAUAUAUAUAUAUAUAUAUAUAUAUAUAUAUAUAUAUAUAUAUAUAUAUAAUUAUAUAUAAUGUGUGUGUCUAUCCGUGUUUAAAAUAAUAAAGCCUCAAGGCAAUGAAUUAUGUGGGCCUUGGAAAAUUUGUGUAAGGCCAAAUGGCAUUUUUAAUUGGUCAAAAUACCAUAGAGAAUUAUUAAAAAUGACAACAGACUCUUUGAAUUAUUU